rnacentral:rRNA from 1 species
UACGUAGGGGGCUAGCGUUGUCCGGAUUUAUUGGGCGUAAAGAGCGUGUAGGCGGCCAGGUAGGUCUGCUGUGAAAACUCGAGGCUCAACCUCGAGACGUCGGCGGAAACCAUCUGGCUAGAGUCCGGAAGAGGAGAGUGGAAUUCCUGGUGUAGCGGUGAAAUGCGCAGAUAUCAGGAAGAACACCCGUGGCGAAGGCGGCUCUCUGGGACGGUACUGACGCUGAGGCGCGAAAGCUAGGGUAGCAAACGGG